AGAUGGCCCUUCCUGACAGCAAAGGGGAGAGAAACGCACAAAUGGAAAAGGGGUCUUUAAUCUACCUGUGCUGAUUUUGAGGUAUGCUGUGAAGCAAGGAUCCACUUUACUUUCUUCCACAUGGAGGAAGUAGAGGGCUCCGAUGAUAAGUGUUCCUAGAACAGCCACUAC